rnacentral:lncRNA from 1 species
AGCAGUGCUCUUUUUCAGCUACAAGGGAAAAUGAAAAAGGGAAAAGGAAGACAAGCAUACAUUCCCUUUGUUCUUAUUUUCAGGAACAGGUGUGCUAAUCUACGAGUGCUGGGUUGCAUGACAUGGAAAGCCAUGACUGGCUCCAAAGGACAGCUUGGCACCUGAGGACUAGCUGGAGAUUUGUGGGGAAUACAGCUGUGAUGUUCUCAGAUUUGAGUGUGUGGAGACCAGCUCUUAGGCAUCUUUGGGUGUCUAAAUAACAUGUGCCAGCCCAUGUGACUUGAGAGAAUAUCUUCUAUGAAAGUCACAGAGAUGUUAGGCUGCUCCCAGGGCAGUUUGGAUGAUUAUUAUGGAGUAAGGAAUGGGACUAAUACACCGAAUUUUAGUUCAGCAUCUCACUGAGAAUGAAUGUCCCUUCACUUCUGUCAAGUCAGACUAUUCCUUUUUUCAGUGUAACUAUAUUGGUUUUAGUGUGGUGAAGUGUUUGUGAACUGUGGCUUCUUUUUAAAUAAAAUGUAUCUUUAUUACA